rnacentral:rRNA from 1 species
UACAGAGGUCUCAAGCGUUGUUCGGAUUCAUUGGGCGUAAAGGGUGUGUAGGUGGCGCCGUAAGUCGGGUGUGAAAUUUCGGAGCUUAACUCCGAAACUGCAUUCGAUACUGCGGUGCUUGAGGACUGGAGAGGAGACUGGAAUUCAUGGUGUAGCAGUGAAAUGCGUAGAGAUCAUGAGGAAGACCAGUGGCGAAGGCGGGUCUCUGGACAGUUCCUGACACUGAGACACGAAGGCCAGGGGAGGCAAACGGG